UACGUAGGGUGCAAGCGUUAAUCGGAAUUACUGGGCGUAAAGCGUGCGCAGGCGGUUGGGCAAGACAGAUGGGAAAUCCCCGGGCUCAACCUGGGAAUUGCAUUUGUGACUGCACGGCUAGAGUGUGUCAGAGGGGGGUAGAGUUCCACGUGUAGCAGUGAAAUGCGUAGAGAUGUGGAGGAAUACCGAUGGCGAAGGCAGCCCCCUGGGAUAACACUGACGCUCAUGCACGAAAGCGUGGGGAGCAAACAGG
rnacentral:rRNA from 1 species